GUACACGCUGUGACUAGCAUAUCAAUAAGCGGAGGAAAAGAAACUAACAAGGAUUCCCUUAGUAACGGCGAGUGAAGCGGGAAGAGCUCAAAUUUGAAAUCUUGCAAGGUUUACCUUUCACGAAUUGCAGUUUAAAGAAGUGUUUUCUGCUUACGAUUUGGUAAUAAGUUCUUUGGAAUAGGACAUCAUAGAGGGUGAGAAUCCCGUAUGAUUGACCGAUUUGUCAGCUUUGUGAUACACUUUCAAAGAGUCGGAUUGUUUGGGAAUGCAGUCCCAAAAUGGGAUGGUAAAUUUCAUCUAAGGCUAAAUAUUGGCGAGAGACCGAUAGCGAACAAGUACCGUGAGGGAAAGAUGAAAAGAACUUUGAAAAGAGAGUUAAACAGUACGUGAAAUUGUCAAAAGGGAAGCGUUUAACACCAGUGUUGUUUUCUGAAAAUCAACCUCUGUUAGCUUUAUGCAUGUUUGUUUAGACCUAAUCAGUUAUCUUGCAUGUUCUAUUGUUUGCAGUGGUGCACUUUUCAGUUUACAGGUCAACAUCAGUUUUUUUUACCGUAAAAAAGUUAAAGAAAGGUAGCUCAUGGCUCCGGUCGUGAGUGUUAUAGUCUUUUUCCUAUGCGGUAGGAGAGACUGAGGUCUGCAGUGUAGGCUAUUUGGCUAGAUACUCAGGUGCUAUGUGAUACCAUUUCAUAAACAACUUGUUGAUUAUGUUUUGUCUAUUGCAUACUCGCUUGUACUAUCAUACCUACGCUUAGGAUGUUGAGUAGCGACAUACGCAC
rnacentral:rRNA from 1 species